GCAUAAUCAUUAGUCUUUUAAUUGAAGGCUGGUAUGAAUGGCGGGAUGAAGUAUUAACUGUCUCCUUUUAAUUAAAUUUGAACUUAAUUUUUUAGUUAAAAAGCUAAAAUAAAGUUGAAAGACGAGAAGACCCUAUAGAUCUUUACAUGAAUUUUUAUUUUUAAAUUUAUUUAAUUAAAAUUAGAAAGUAAUGUUUUGUUGGGGUGACGGGAAGAUAAAUUUAACUCUUUUUUAUAAAAAAUAUGAAUGUAUAAAUUUAUGAUCCAUUAGUGAUGAUUGAAAGUCUAAGUUACCUUAGGGAUAACAGCGUAAUUCUUUUUGAGAGUUCUAAUCGACAAAGGAGUUUGCGACCUCGAUGUUGGACUAAGAAAAUUCCUAAGUGCAGAAGUUUGGGGGUUAAGUCUGUUCGACUUUUAAAUUCUUACAU
rnacentral:rRNA from 1 species